GGUGGCUGCGACUGUUUAUUAAAAACACAGCACUCUGCAAAGACGAAAGUCGACGUAUAGGGUGUGAUGCCUGCCCGGUGCUGGAAGAUUAAUUGAUGGGGUGCAAGCUCCUGAUCGAAGUCCCAGUAAACGGCGGCCGUAACUAUAACGGUCCUAAGGUAGCGAAAUUCCUUGUCGGGCAAGUUCCGACCUGCACGAAUGGCAUAACGAUGGCCACACUGUCUCCUCCUGAGACUCAGUGAAGUUGAAGUGUUUGUGAUGAUGCAAUCUCCCCGCGGCUAGACGGAAAGACCCCAUGAACCUUUACUGUAGCUUUGCAUUGGACUUUGAACCGAUCUGUGUAGGAUAGGCGGGAGCCUGUGAAACCACAACGCCAGUUGUGGCGGAGGCGUCCUUGAAAUACCGCCCUGAUUUGUUUGAGGUUCUAACCUGGGACAGUUAUCCUGUCCGGGGACCGUGCAUGGUAGGCAGUUUGACUGGGGCGGUCUCCUCCUAAAGGGUAACGGAGGAGUGCGAAGGUACGCUAGGUACGGUCGGAAAUCGUGCUGAUAGUGCAAUGGCAAAAGCGUGCUUGACUGCGAGACCCACAAGUCGAGCAGAUACGAAAGUAGGUCAUAGUGAUCCGGUGGCUCUGUAUGGAAGGGCCAUCGCUCAACGGAUAAAAGGUACUCUGGGGAUAACAGGCUGAUACCGCCCAAGAGUUCAUAUCGACGGCGGUGUUUGGCACCUCGAUGUCGGCUCAUCUCAUCCUGGGGCUGUAGCCGGUCCCAAGGGUAUGGCUGUUCGCCAUUUAAAGAGGUACGUGAGCUGGGUUUAAAACGUCGUGAGACAGUUUUGUCCCUAUCUGCCGUGGGCGCUGGAAGAUUGACGGGGGCUGCUCCUAGUACGAGAGGACCGGAGUGGACUCACCUCUGGUGUACCGGUUGUCACGCCAGUGGCAUCGCCGGGUAGCUAUGUGGGGAAGAGAUAACCGCUGAAAGCAUCUAAGCGGGAAACUUGCCUGAAGAUAAGUCUUCCUGGAGGCUAGACCUCCCUAAAGAGUCGUUCGAGACCAGGACGUUGAUAGGAUGGGUGUGUAAGUGCUGUGAGGCACUCAGCUAACCAUUACUAAUUGCUCGUGAAGCUUGAUCCU
rnacentral:rRNA from 1 species